rnacentral:rRNA from 1 species
GACGAACGCUGGCGGCGUGCCUAAUACAUGCAAGUAGAACGCUGAAGGAGGAGCUUGCUCUUCUGGAUGAGUUGCGAACGGGUGAGUAACGCGUAGGUAACCUGCCUGGUAGCGGGGGAUAACUAUUGGAAACGAUAGCUAAUACCGCAUAACAGUAGAUGUUGCAUGACAUUUGCUUAAAAGGUGCAAUUGCACCACUACCAGAUGGACCUGCGUUGUAUUAGCUAGUUGGUGGGGUAACGGCUCACCAAGGCGACGUUACAUAGCCGACCUGAGAGGGAGAUCGGCCACACUGGGACUGAGACACGGCCCAGACUCCUACGGGAGGCAGCAGGAGGGAAUCUUCGGCAAUGGACGGAAGUCUGACCGAGCAACGCCGCGUGAGUGAAGAAGGUUUUCGGAUCGUAAAGCUCUGUUGGAAGAGAAGAACGAGUGUGAGAGUGGAAAGUUCACACUGUGACGGUAUCUUACCAGAAAGGGACGGCUAACUACGUG